GAUGAACGCUGGCGGCGUGCCUAAUACAUGCAAGUCGAGCGAACAGAUGAGGAGCUUGCUCCUCUGACGUUAGCGGCGGACGGGUGAGUAACACGUGGAUAACCUACCUAUAAGACUGGGAUAACUUCGGGAAACCGGAGCUAAUACCGGAUAAUAUAUUGAACCGCAUGGUUCAAUAGUGAAAGACGGUUUUGCUGUCACUUAUAGAUGGAUCCGCGCCGCAUUAGCUAGUUGGUAAGGUAACGGCUUACCAAGGCAACGAUGCGUAGCCGACCUGAGAGGGUGAUCGGCCACCCUGGAACUGAGACACGGUCCAGACUCCUACGGGAGGCAGCAGUAGGGAAUCUUCCGCAAUGGGCGAAAGCCUGACGGAGCAACGCCGCGUGAGUGAUGAAGGUCUUCGGAUCGUAAAACUCUGUUAUUAGGGAAGAACAAAUGUGUAAGUAACUAUGCACGUCUUGACGGUACCUAAUCAGAAAGCCACGGCUAACUACGU
rnacentral:rRNA from 1 species